rnacentral:rRNA from 1 species
UACGUAGGUGGCAAGCGUUGUCCGGAUUUACUGGGUGUAAAGGGCGUGUAGCCGGGCUGACAAGUCAGAUGUGAAAUCCGGGGGCUCAACCCCCGAACUGCAUUUGAAACUGUUGGUCUUGAGUAUCGGAGAGGCAGGCGGAAUUCCUAGCGUAGCGGUGAAAUGCGUAGAUAUAUGGAGGAACACCGGUGGCGAAAGCGGCUCUCUGGCCUGUAACUGACACUGAGGCUCGAAAGCGUGGGGAGCAAACAGG